rnacentral:rRNA from 1 species
UGGGGAAUUUUGGACAAUGGGGGAAACCCUGAUCCAGCCAUCCCGCGUGUGCGAUGAAGGCCUUCGGGUUGUAAAGCACUUUUGGCAGGAAAGAAACGUCGCGGGUUAAUACCCCGCGAAACUGACGGUACCUGCAGAAUAAGCACCGGCUAACUACGUGCCAGCAGCCGCGGUAAUACGUAGGGUGCAAGCGUUAAUCGGAAUUACUGGGCGUAAAGCGUGCGCAGGCGGUUCGGAAAGAAAGAUGUGAAAUCCCAGAGCUUAACUUUGGAACUGCAUUUUUAACUACCGGGCUAGAGUGUGUCAGAGGGAGGUGGAAUUCCGCGUGUAGCAGUGAAAUGCGUAGAUAUGCGGAGGAACACCGAUGGCGAAGGCAGCCUCCUGGGAUAACACUGACGCUCAUGCACGAAAGCGUGGGGAGCAAACAGGAUUAGAUACCCUGGUAGUCCACGCCCUAAACGAUGUCAACUAGCUGUUGGGGCCUUCGGGCCUUAGUAGCGCAGCUAACGCGUGAAGUUGACCGCCUGGGGAGUACGGUCGCAAGAUUAAAACUCAAAUGAAUUGACGGGGUCGAUANC